rnacentral:rRNA from 1 species
GACGAACGCUGGCGGCGUGCCUAAUACAUGCAAGUCGAACGGUCUUUUCUAUGGAAGCUUGCUUCCACUGAGAAGAUAGUGGCGAACGGGUGAGUAACACGUGGGUAACCUGCCCAUAAGAGGGGGAUAACAUCCGGAAACGGGUGCUAAUACCGCAUAGGUUUCUUGGUCGCAUGAUCGAGAAAGGAAGACGGCCUUUGNGCUGUCGCUUAUGGAUGGACCCGNGUCUGAUUAGCUAGUUGGUGGGUANAAGCCUACCAAGGCGACGAUCAGUAGCCGGCCU